UUUGGUGAUGAUGCAUUUAAGAUUAUGGUUUAAAAGAAUAAUUCAAAGACAACAGUUUCAAUUGCCAGAUUAACAAUUCUUUUAUUUCUAUUAAACAUAAAAAAAGAAAGAAAAAGAAAUGCAAAGAAGUAAGGGAGAUAGAGGAAUACGGGAACUGAGGUCUACCACACAAACAUCUUGAAGCAUUUCGGGAUCACUUUACUUGAGCUCAGUUUCUC
rnacentral:lncRNA from 1 species